AAAAACUUCCGCCAGGGAGAGAUUAAAUUUUCCAAACUAAAUGAAUUUUUGUGAUCAUGAUUCCCAUUGAUAAAAAAAACAUGGCGGCUGCUUGUUUCUUGACUUCGCUUCAACACUUUAAACUCAUCAUGAACUCCCAAUAUGCAACAAAUAUACACAAUUUCAAGUCUAUUGUGUACGUACGGUUGGGAAGUAAUGUAUUUGCAUUCAAUUCUGACAGAAAAGUUUUGUGGCGAUUACCUGAAUUAAAUCAGUGCAUAUAGACCUCUAGAAAGAAGCCUACACAAGUUCCAGGAAAUACAAGAUGAAGAGUAUAAGUUGCCAUUAUGAAGGGAUAAUGUAGUCAGCACUAUGCCCAGCCACUUUUUUUGCUUUCCCCAAUGUCAAGUACCCAUCAGAGCUGAGUGUUCUCAGGUAAAUGGAACUUCAUGAAAAUUGAAGAAAAAUUAAUAACAAGUAAAUGAACAUGGUGUUAUGGGUUGCUGCAAUCACCACUUUAAUGGAAUUUUUCAAGGACAAUUUAAAUGUAGUAAAGAAAUAGGGAUGCCACUACAAAUCUGGUGAUGUCUUUUGUAUCUACACAAAGGAAUCAGUUACUAGCUUGUGCAAGCAUGAAAAAAAACAUGUAUAAUGUAAAUGUAACUUUACAUUUGAACAAAGCUAUGAAAGUAACAUUUCUUCAUGUGAAUGUCCCAGAGGAGCUAACAGGUGUUCACAGACUGCUGUACAGUUUUGCCUUGUUUAUUCACCAAGAAACCCCAUGUACAACUUAUGAAAAUGCUGUUUAGGAUCUGCUUUUGGUUUCUCAACGCCAGAAAGACAAGAUGAAGAGUAUAAGUUGCCAUUAUUUUAAGAUAUUUUAUUUUAGAAUAUACUG